CAAAAUCGCACGGGAGAGAGAGGGAGACAAAAACAUCAAUAGAAACCCUAACUAUCUUCCACCGCCCUCUUCUCCGUCUUCCCGUCGCUCCUGCAUCCACUCCGACGCCUACUUCACUCUCCUCAACAACGCCUCCGCCUGACCUAACUCAAUUGAUAGGCGAUGAUGACGACGGAGAUGGUGUACGCGACAUCGUCACCUUCGCCUGGACGAGGGUGGUUUGACGGUGGUGUUCUCCUUUCUCUUAUCUAUCUUCUAAAUUCCUCAUUGUCAAUUCUCUACUCCAGCUUCUAAAGUAAACAUUUUUCGGUACAGUUUAUGACUCUCUUUGUUAACCGUCCUCCAAUCAUGUUGAUUGGACGCAGUGCAUAUGGGAUCAUGUGGUAUGUGUAUAUUUUUGUGAUUAUGAUCAGUUUGAUGCUGAACUCAGAGACGAAUGAGAUGGUUGCUUUGAAGAAGAUUGCGUAUGCUUUCGAUAAUUGUGUGGAUGCGAAGCAGAUGCUUCAUGAGAUUAAGCUUCUUUGACAUUUGCAUCAUGAGAAUGUGAGUUUUGCUUUGAUGUGAACAUGUUUGUUUAAUAGAUUUAUGCAAGAUUGUAGAUCUUUUUUUUAUCAAAUGUGAAUUAGUAAACAAUGUUGCAUUGUAGAUUUUUUUUAUCAAUUAUGAAUUAGUAACCCAUGUUGCUUUUAGAUUACUUAGCUGUAAUCAUUAUAGAUUUACAGCCUGAUUAAAAUUGUUGAGAAAA